rnacentral:rRNA from 1 species
CUACGGGUUGCAGCAGUUAGGAAUAAUCUACAAUGCACGAAAGUGUGAUAGUUUGAGCCAGAGUGCUUUUCAAUUUGGAAAGCUUUUGCCAAAUGUAAAAAGUUUGGCGAAUAAGGACUGGGUAAGACGAGUGCCAGCCGCCGCGGUAAUACUCGCGGUCCAAGUCGCAGCCAUUUUUAUUGGGUCUAAAACAUCCGUAGCUUGCUUGAUAAGUCCCUUGUGAAAUUCUGUAUCUCAAGUGCAGAGCGUGCAGGGGGUACUGCCAAGCUAGAGACUGGAAGACGUGGAAAGUACGUUCGAAGUAGCGGUAAAAUGUUUUAAUCUCGGACGGACUCACAAUAGCGAAGGCAUUCCACGAGGACAGUUCUGACAGUAAGGGAUGAAGGCUAGGGGCGCAAAACGGAUUAGAUACCCUAGUAGUC